rnacentral:rRNA from 1 species
AGAGUUUGAUCAUGGCUCAGGACGAACGCUGGCGGCGUGCCUAAUACAUGCAAGUAGAACGCUGAAGAGAGGAGCUUGCUCUUCUUGGAUGAGUUGCGAACGGGUGAGUAACGCGUAGGUAACCUGCCUUGUAGCGGGGGAUAACUAUUGGAAACGAUAGCUAAUACCGCAUAACAAUGGAUGACACAUGUCAUUUAUUUGAAAGGGGCAAUUGUUCCACUACAAGAUGGACCUGCGUUGUAUCAGCUAGUAGGUGAGGUAAUGGCUCACCUAGGCGACGAUACAUAGCCGACCUGAGAGGGUGAUCGGCCACACUGGGACUGAGACACGGCCCAGACUCCUACGGGAGGCAGCAGUAGGGAAUCUUCGGCAAUGGGGGCAACCCUGACCGAGCAACGCCGCGUGAGUGAAGAAGGUUUUCGGAUCGUAAAGCUCUGUUGUAAGUCAAGAACGGGUGUGAGAGUGGAAAGUUCACACUGUGACGGUAGCUUACCAGAAAGGGACGGCUAACUACGUGCCAGCAGCCGCGGUAAUACGUAGGUCCCGAGCGUUGUCCGGAUUUAUUGGGCGUAAAGCGAGCGCAGGCGGUUUGAUAAGUCUGAAGUUAAAGGCUGUGGCUCAACCAUAGUUCGCUUUGGAAACUGUCAAACUUGAGUGCAGAAGGGGAGAGUGGAAUUCCAUGUGUAGCGGUGAAAUGCGUAGAUAUAUGGAGGAACACCGGUGGCGAAAGCGGCUCUCUGGUCUGUAACUGACGCUGAGGCUCGAAAGCGUGGGGAGCGAACAGGAUUAGAUACCCUGGUAGUCCACGCCGUAAACGAUGAGUGCUAGGUGUUGGAUCCUUUCCGGGAUUCAGUGCCGCAGCUAACGCAUUAAGCACUCCGCCUGGGGAGUACGACCGCAAGGUUGAAACUCAAAGGAAUUGACGGGGGCCCGCACAAGCGGUGGAGCAUGUGGUUUAAUUCGAAGCAACGCGAAGAACCUUACCAGGUCUUGACAUCCCGAUGCUAUUUCUAGAGAUAGAAAGUUACUUCGGUACAUCGGUGACAGGUGGUGCAUGGUUGUCGUCAGCUCGUGUCGUGAGAUGUUGGGUUAAGUCCCGCAACGAGCGCAACCCCUAUUGUUAGUUGCCAUCAUUCAGUUGGGCACUCUAGCGAGACUGCCGGUAAUAAACCGGAGGAAGGUGGGGAUGACGUCAAAUCAUCAUGCCCCUUAUGACCUGGGCUACACACGUGCUACAAUGGUUGGUACAACGAGUUGCGAGUCGGUGACGGCGAGCUAAUCUCUUAAAGCCAAUCUCAGUUCGGAUUGUAGGCUGCAACUCGCCUACAUGAAGUCGGAAUCGCUAGUAAUCGCGGAUCAGCACGCCGCGGUGAAUACGUUCCCGGGCCUUGUACACACCGCCCGUCACACCACGAGAGUUUGUAACACCCGAAGUCGGUGAGGUAACCUUUUGGAGCCAGCCGCCUAAGGUGGGACAGAUGAUUGGGGUGAAGUCGUAACAAGGUA